UUGUUCUGCACCAGCGGAGGAGUGCGCACCUCUUUCACCACAGCCGCAAGGGAGCGCCCAAACAGGGACCAUAACGAACAGGGACACAGAUAGGGGCAAGGAGGAACAGGGACCUGAAACUUAACCUGACUUGAAGACUACACGUUGAGAGAAACGAGGAGCAAUUUGUAAAAGAGUGCGUUGAGAUAAACGCUGCAACCUGAGGGUUCAUCGUCCUCAACAGCUCCGAUUGCCUUUCGCUGGACGAAGGUGUUCCUCCUGGGCUCUGUAUCAUGCACUGGCCAUGCAGAUGUGGAGCACAAGUGGAAAAAAAGCCCUGCAGACCCUGACAAGAAUAAAAGCAAGAGAGAAUCUGUGAUGGGUGAGAAAGGAAAAGUGCACUUUGAAGCAGGGGACGCCCCGCUGGCUCUGCCUAUCGCACCCACCGCCGGCGUGUUCCCCAUCUCUCCUUUUGGUGGUUGCCAUCUCUCAGGUGUCACGGCGGAGUGCGCACCUCUUUCACCACACCCGCAAGGAGCGUGAUGCCCUCUUGCAACACCUGCCGAGUGCAGGGUCACCAACCACAAGACCAGGCUGCCCAGAUGUGAAGGGAUGAUAAGCGUAGGGCUUCACCUUGCAUUGACUUCCCUCCAGACUCUGGGAAGGGUUGUCACAGUCAGAAAUAGGGCACUUGGUGGGUGUCUGGCAGGGGUGAAUGUCCAUUUUGCUCCCACUGCUAACUCCUGUUAAGGUCUGGACAGCAAAGUACCACAAACUCCACCACGAACAAAGAAGAAGAGCUGCAUUUCUCCAGUACAGAAAUCCACAAGUGAGAACAAGCAGGUUUUCCUUGCUUUGCUGGGCCUUUAUUCCUCUAGUUUCUUAUGCUUUAAGGCAAUGAAGAAUCAUUUGGUUCUCUCCUUUCCUGAAUUGCACAAGCUGCAGCCUGUGGGUGGGCCCAAGGAAGGGAAUGGAAGAGAUCCAGCUGCUGCUUACAGUUACCAGAAGGUGUCAUUAACCAAGCAUGUGCUGGAUGGGCCAGCAGUGAGAAAAUGGAAGGACUGCAGAGUCUAGGAUAACCCUCUCUUUCUACUCCUAAGUAGAUGGGACUGUCCUUGUGUUUCCAUUCUAUAUUGCCAUCACUUUGGUGGAUUUAUGCUCCAGCAGCAUCCUUUCGCUGAGUUUAGGUUGGCAUGGGCAUGUGCAGUGAGGAUGAAAUCUAGGCUCAUUACUACCUGGAGAACGUGAAUAGUGAGGAAUGCUGGACUCUGUGCUGCAUUGCACAGCACAGGUGAGAGCUGUGCUGGGGGAUAGUGAAGGUUUGUAUCUGCUCCUUUCGCACACAAACUCUUAGGAUGGUGCAUUUCCUGUCUGCUCAUCUGGAAGAUCUGAAGAAAAAGCAUUAGGCUCCAAUGGCAAGAGUUGCACAUUGCUCCCAGGAAAAUGAAGUUUUCUCUUCCUCAGGACUCUCUGAAGUCUUCCUGGAAGUAAUAUUCUUACAUGGAGAUUGCUCUGGCACUGGUAGGUGAGAUUUUAUGUAAGCCAAGACAGCAGUACAUAAGCCAAAAAGACUUGAGUGAUGCACUGAGUAGCAUCUAUUGGCCUCUACCAUCAUGAAACAACUUGCAAUGGCCAUACUCAUGGCGUGGCUGUGCUCCUGACUACAGUUGGCUGCUCUCUACCUGUUACUUUGACUUGAUAUUCCUCGAUGGUCUCUUCCAUCUUCUUAGGUGCUGGCUGUAGGCUUAGCUGUGCCAGAGAUGCUCUCCUUCAGAAUUCCUUCUGCUCUACAGAAACUCUCAACCCCUUUCUGAUUCUUUGGUGCUCUUUAGCCCCAGCACAGAGCUCACCUGUCAGAACUAACAGCCAAAGACACUGCUGAUGUUUCCCUGUCACCACUUUAUUUCCCUUACUACUGCAAGAGUCUAUGCUAUUGGGGAAAGAAAUGAGGACAACUAAAAUGUUCUGUAACUUCCAGGAAAAUGCACAAAGGAUUCCUGGAAUCUCUCAGGAUAAUGGAAUUGAGGUUGGUCCCCAACCACCAGCACAGAUCCAAGACGACCACAUCUUUUUCUAGAAGCCUUCAAAACCCACAAGGAUGGAGAUCGCCCAUAUUUCUGGUGACCACAGCUGAGGUGGUUCACCUUCAGAAAAUGUAGGCUCUACUGGUCAAGUGUGCAGGCAAUAACUGAGGAAGGAUGGGUAUAUAUACAGGGAUUGAGAUAUUCUGAAUGAGUCAGCAGAAAUGCAAGAUUUCCAACAAGCAUCAUUAGCCUGAAUCUGAAUCAUUUCUAAUCUGUAAACCCCAGAUUAGAAGCAACUGGAGGCUGAUGCCUUAAGUUAGGCAUUCUGCUUCUUGUGACACCAAUUGCCAUAUGUAGCCAAGUUGGAUUAACCCCUUCAGUUGUAUGAUCCAUCUGCAGAGCCUCAGAGUGGGCAUGCUGCCUCACAUCCUGUAGUGACCACUCUUGGCCAUGGGAGCAGAUCUGUUCUACGAGGGGAUGGACAAUGAUGGACAUCAAUUCCAUGAUCAGCGACUUACAUAAAGUCCAGCAGAGUAAAUAUGAAAAAUGACUAAGC
ensembl:lncRNA